rnacentral:lncRNA from 1 species
UACCGUUCUAUUCCGUGAACAUCUAUCUGAUUAAAUUAUGGGUGGAAAGUUACCACAAGAUAUUCUAUGAACAUAGUACAAUGUCUUCCUGGAGGGGUAAAAUUUUCCAUUACAAGAUUUUAAGAGAGGCCAUUUACUGUUCAAUUUGCGUUCAUUUUCAAAUUUGCCGCGCGAGUAUCUAUGUAGCGUCGCGUGGUCAUUGGUCAUCACAUUUCAUUUUCAUAAGAUAACCGAUAACCUAAAAAUUUAGUAAAAAUUUUGAUUGGAAAAAAAUGCAUCGAUAAGGGGGUGUGGGAAAUGGAAAUUAGUGGCUUUUCUGCUGUACUGUCUGCUAGUCAAAUCACACAACACUUUUUUCUAUGCUGCUAGUUUUUGCUCUGGGCUCUGGCUGGAUCUCUUGUUUAAACAAUUUUAAUCAGCUGAAAGUGGCCUACAAAAAAAAACCAAGAAGGAAAUGUAUAGCCUUGUGGCUAUGAAAGGCAAAAGAGAGAUAUAAAAAGUGUAUUGGCUAGUUGGAAGAAAGUCCACAUUGUCCAUGCAUAAUAAGUUAUUACUUUAUCAACAAAUAUCAAGAAGAUAGCAGGGUCACGAGCAACAACUUCAUAAGUUCAAGAAUAUCGAGGAAAUCCAGCUCCUCGAUACUACUGGGCAAACUAGAAGAUUGAAGAGGACAAAGCCUUUUGAACUAGUUUGAGUGAUAGGUGAUAGUGAAAAACGGAGCAUAGUGCUUGUGUGCUGUGCCUGUGUAUGUUAGAAUAGUGCAUGAUCUUGUUAGAUUAGAUAAGAGACGCUAUGGGGUAAGCUCUUCAUUUUAAGAAACAGUAGUAAUUUAGGUUAAAUUAAAAUUGCUCAUUGGUCAGUUAUGACCAGAUUGUUUUUUUAUGUUUGGCAAAAAGGACUUAAGUCAGAAUAGCACAUUGAUAAUGUUUUGAUGAUUUCUGGACCAGAAAAAAACUGUUGUAGAUGUAAACUGUAUGUACAGUAGAAUCUACUACAGUACUGUAGAAAUCAUCAAAACAUUAUCGAUGUGCAAUUCUGACUUAAGCCCUUUUUCCCAAACAUCGGAGAAUUGUAAUGUACAAUAAUUCUCCUAUCUGCUUUUUCAUGAAUUUUGUAGGAGAUGAAAAACCAUUUUUAGGAUCAUCUGCUUUCACAUGUAAAUUUUGACAUGUUUUGUAGUAAAUAGAUAGUUGAAUUUACUACAAAACAUGUCAAAAAAUAUAUGAAAACAGGAGGUGACUAUAAAAAAAGUUUUUAGUCUCUCUUACAAAACUCAUGAAAAAACAAAUCGGAGGUAUGUCACAUCAGUGACUAUAUCCAGGGAAUGUCUAAAAAAUAUACUUUGAUGUCCCAAGAACCAAAUAUAACCUACAGUCCAUCUAAUUUACUUACUGUUGCAGGUCAUUAUCUACGCCAGAGAUCUAAGUUGACAUAGUUGCCAAAGUAUAAAAAGAUCCUGAAUCCAUUUUAAAUCAAAUAUAUCACAUAAUUAUUGUAAACGUGGAUUAUACAACAAAACAAAUUAAUAUUCAAUGUAAAUAAGUAAAAACUUAAGAAAUAGAGAACAAGAAUUAAGUUAUAAUCUUUUAAGAUUUGCAGUGCAAGAGUUUUUGCACUGCAUUGUUAAUAAUUAAAAAACGGCUCCGAACUCUUGGCAAAAAGCUG